rnacentral:rRNA from 1 species
UGGAGAGGUGCCAUCGGUCCCCCUCGGCGCCAAAAUCCCUUGGAACGGGGUAUCGGAGAAGGUGAGAAUCCUGUCAAGCGCCGGAGUGGGACCGUACGAUGUGCUCUCGUAGAGUCGGGCUGCUUGGGAGUGCAGCCUGAAGCGGGUGGUAAAUUCCAUCUAAAGCUAAAUACUGGCGGGAGACCGAUAGCGAACAAGUACCGUGAGGGAAAGAUGCAAAGAACUUUGAAAAGAGAGUUAAAGAGUGCUUGAAAUUGGCAGGAGGAAACCCGGUUGCGCGUGGCAUUUGGCGUGGUCGACUCAGCCGCGCGCGGAGAUCUGUAGGGGACCUAACGGCCUCGUGGUCAGCGCGCGCGGUGCACUUCGGCCGCGUCGGUCAGCCGCGUUUCUGCGCGGCCCAUACGGCCGCGGGCAGGGCUUCGGCGCCGCCUGCGGUUUGGGGGUCGCGCGGGAUCCCGGCUGAUGCGCACGGGCGCAACCGACCCGUCUAGAAACACGGACCAAGGAGUCUGACGCGUGUGC